AUACGGAGGGGGUUAGCGUUGUUCGGAAUUACUGGGCGUAAAGCGCACGUAGGCGGACUGGAAAGUUGGGGGUGAAAUCCCGGGGCUCAACCUCGGAACUGCCUCCAAAACUUCCAAUCUAGAGAUCGAGAGAGGUGAGUGGAAUUCCAAGUGUAGAGGUGAAAUUCGUAGAUAUUUGGAGGAACACCAGUGGCGAAGGCGGCUCACUGGCUCGAUACUGACGCUGAGGUGCGAAAGCGUGGGGAGCAAACAGGAUUAGAAACCCGGGUAGUCC
rnacentral:rRNA from 1 species